GAGCCACAUGGCAUAGUGGUUAAGUGCUUGCACUUCCACUCACGCAGUCAGGAGUUCGAGCCCCCUGUGGAUCA
rnacentral:tRNA from 1 species